rnacentral:ribozyme from 14 species
CUCACCCCUCUGUCAUGGCCUCUGCACGAGCCCUUGCGCCGAGGCGCACUGGCGCUGGCACAGAAACGCCCCUGGAGGUGUCACUCGAGGAUACUGG